rnacentral:misc_RNA from 1 species
GAGCCUCAAAACCAUCUAGCGUUAAGCCGGCCAUCGCUUCUCUCUCUCUCUCUCAGUAGUCUCUCUUUCUCUCUCUAAUGGAAGAAGACGACGAAUUUGGAGAUCUCUACACGGACGUGCUGCGACCCUUCUCCUCAUCUGCACCUUCUGCUCCGCAGCCUCAACAUUCCUCUCCCGCACCUUCAUCGAUUCAACGUCCGAUUGAUCUCGUUCUUCAGAACCACAGAAAAGACAUCGAGGGUGACGAAAUCCUCCAUGGUGUAUCCGGCCGCAAUCCCCCUGUUCCCUUCGAUCAAACCCCACUAAAUUCUGUUGAGAAUUCAAUCCCUACUGACAUUAAUUCAGCUACUAGACCUAGGGUUUUGGGCUCUUCUGAGGCGAAAUUACCUAAUAAUGCUUCAAAUAGUACUGAUUUUCAAUCCGAUAAGCAGGAUGAAGAGAUCAAUUUUGAUAUCGAGGAGAUAAAUACUGGAAUUAUUGAAGAUUCAGGUCCGAUGAUCCCUGGACUCACCGUUGACACCGAGGAUUCUAGGAAGAGUGAUGCUGACGUUGCCGGUGGUCGAGUCAGCGGAGAGGGAGAUGAAGAUUGGGAAGAAGACAGUGAUAGUGAAGAUGAUUUGCAAAUAGUGUUGAAUGAUACUAAUCAUGGCCCCAUGGGGAUGGAAAGAGGAAUGAUGGGUGAUGGCGGUGAUGAUGAUGACGACGACGAGGAUGGGGAUCCACUCGUAAUUGUCGCUGACGGGGACCCAAAUCAGCCGAUAGAGGAACAAGAUUGGGGAGUGGGAGAAGAUGCGGCCACAGCAGCAGGGGUGGAAGGGGAGAAGAAAGAGGGCGACGAGGCAGCUGGGAAAGGGAAUGCAGUGGCAGGGCCGAAGAUUGGGUACAGCAAUCAUGGGUAUCAUCACCAGUUUCAUUCUCAGUUUAAGUAUGUGAGACCUGGUGCAGCACCAAUGCCUGGAGCUACUGUUGGGCCUGGAGGAGCCACGGGUCAAGUUCGUCCUCCUAUCAACAUGGCUCCUUUAGCUGGUCGUGGAAGGGGUGACUGGCGACCAGCAGGAAUGAGAAAUGCUCCUCAAAUGCAGAAGGGUUACCAUCAUGGUUUUGGAAUGCCUGUUUGGGGCAACAAUGUCGCAGGCCGGGGCUUUGGUGGUGGACUGGAAUUCACCCUUCCUUCCCACAAGACCAUUUUUGAUGUUGACAUUGAUAGUUUUGAAGAAAAGCCAUGGAAAUAUCCUGGCGUUGAUACUUCUGACUUCUUCAACUUUGGUUUGAAUGAGGAAAGUUGGAAAGAUUAUUGCAAACAACUGGAACAACACCGGCUAGAGACUACCAUGCAAAGCAAAAUUCGUGUAUAUGAGAGUGGGCGGGCAGAGCAGGUAGUAAGCUUCUUAUGUAUUAUGUACAUGACUAAAUGUGUGACUGUAUUGAAAUGAUAUAUAUAAAUACCCAUAAUAAUGUGCUUCAACAAGCAUUUCUUGUUAUUAUUUUCUGAAUUCUGUAAAGUGGAAACCUUUUAUUUUCUAUUGCCUUUGUUUUAGGAAUAUGAUCCAGAUUUGCCACCAGAAUUAGCAGCAGCAGCAGCAGGUAUUCAUGAGAUGCCAGCUGACAAUUCAAAUAUUGGGAAAUCAGAUGUUGGACAAAGUGAUUUAAUGAAAGGACCUCCUUGUGUGCGGCCACCAUUACCAACUGGACGGGCAAUACAAGUUGAAGGAGGUUAUGGCGAACGUCUACCCUCUAUUGAUACUCGACCACCCCGAAUUCGUGAUUCUGAUGCAAUCAUUGAGAUUGUCUUGCAGGACUCUCUAGAUGAUGAUUCCUCCACAGGAAAUGGUGGUCUGGAUGGAGCGAACAAUGAUCCACCGAGAGAUGACUUCAGAGGAAGCCGCACACCUGAAGAUGACAUUGCACCAAUAGAAACUGAAUAUUGCGAUGAUUUUCCACAAGCUUACAAUAAUCGAAAGGGUGGAAGGAGGGCACCAUAUAUUGAUUCUGGUCGCAGUAACAUACCUGAGGGAGAUGGGAUUUUGCCCUUCCAUCCUGAAGCACCAUGUCAAUAUCGUGCUGAUUCUAGGGGGCCACCUGUGUUAUCUGGUGGGGAUUUUGGCCCUCAUCAUGAGGAAAGGCGGGGACAGGGAAGAACAACUGACAUAUCUCCUCAUGUUACUCCAAGUGGUACACGGGAUAAAAGAUUACAUGAUAAUUUUGAGGAAGAUUCAGUUGAAAGCUUGGAUGAUAAACAUAGCCCGGUGGUGUCAUCUCCCACUGCAGUUAGGGAUGCAAGGGAGCUGAGCCUUGAGGACAAGGAUGUUACUGUGCCUGAUGAGCCUGUGGUCGCUGAAGGAAGUUCUGGGAUGGAAAAGGAUGAGAUGACUGAGAAUGAAGUAACCACCAAUGAUAGCAUAAAAGAUGGUAAUGCACAUCAUUCUGCAAAGAAAAAAAAAUUAAGUUCUUGUGUUGAACAGUCUGCUCUGCAAGAACUUGAUGGUGGAGAGGACUCCAAGGCUGCAAGAAGUAGUGAAAAUAGCAAAGCAAGGUCAGGUAGCAGCAAAGAUUAUCAGAAAUGGCAGGAUGGUGUUGAGGAGGAAGUAGUUCAAGAUGGUUGUGCUAGACAUACAGGGAGCACCAAGAGGCAUCUUGAUGAAAGUGAACAUAAUUUCCAAAGAAAAGAACGUGAUGCUAGACAAGAGAUGGAAAGAAAUCACAUGGGAAUAAAAGGUAGGGAGGGUUCUUAUCCUCGUAGAGAUUUGGACCCUAGCUUGACACAUCAUUUGCAUAUAAGAAACGACAGCUAUGAUAGGCGAAAGGAACGAGAAAACCCUGAUGGAUCUUGGCAAUGGAGGGAGGAAGAUCCGCAUAGCAGAAAGAGUAGGACUGAAGACACAAGGAAGAGGGAACGGGGAGAUGAAAUGGGAUCCAGGCACAGAAAUAAGACAAGGGAAGGUGAGAGGAGUGACAGAGAGGAACAUCUUCAUUCAAGAAAACAGUUGGACAAUGGCAGCUAUAGGAUCCAUCAUGAUAAGGAUGGUAGUUCACGGUAUAGGGAAAGAGAGGACAAUUUGAAGAGUAGGUAUGACGUGGUGGAUGAUUACCAUAGCAAGAGAAGGAAAGAUGAGGAAUAUUUAAGGAGGGACCUCACCAACAAGGAGGAGAUCCUGCAUGGCUACAGAGAAGGCACAAGUCGUCGAAGGCGAGAAAGGGAUGAUGUUUUGGAUCCUCGAAAGAGAGAUGAUCAGCAAAGAAUUAGAGACAAUCUUGAUGAUUACCACUCUGUUAGGCACAAGGAUGAGAUCUGGCUCCAGAGGGAAAGGGGUGAAAGGCAAAGGGAGAGGGAGGAGCUGUAUAGGCUAAAACAAUCCCAUGAAGAAAAUUUAUCCAAGCGUGAAAAAGAAGAAGGACGGGGUUCUUUAAGGACUGGGCGUGGUGCAGAUGAUAAAGCAUGGAUUGGCCAGUCUAGGGUGAAGGAUGAAUACAGAGGUUCUGACAAAGAGUACCAACUAAAAGAUGCAGUUCGGAACAGUGAACUGCAGAAGAGAAGGGAUAGAAUGGAGGAGGAAAGUUAUUCACAUCGUAGGGGACGUGAUGAUGUUUAUGCACGGGGAAAUCAACUUAGUAAUGAGGAGAGAAGAUCCAGGCAAGAAAGGUCAAGCGCUCGUAUUGAUCGUGCUGUUGAUACUCCUGAUUACCAAGGGGUGUAUGAUAAAAAACAUAAAGAUAACAUGAGGAGGAGCAAAGAAUCUGAGGGUGGAGAUCACAACACUUUGGGCCAUUCCAGAAGAAUUCAAGAGGAUCACAGUGGUCACACUGAUGAGAUGGGGUUGAGGGGUGCGGCUGAGCAUGGAAACGUGGAGAAUGAGAUUACAACACAACACAACUCUACAAAAAGACACAAGGAAGAUGCAUCCUCUGAUGAUGAACAUCAUGAUUCAAGGAGAGGACGAUCAAAGUUGGAGCGUUGGACAAGCCAUAAGGAGAGAGAUUAUAGUAUUGGCAGUAAGCCAUCAACUUCCUUAACUUUUAAAGAAAUAGAUAGGAAUAACAACAGUGGAUCUUCAGAAGCGAACAAACUUGCCAAUGAACUUCCCAAGAGACCUCAGGCUGUUGAAAAGCAUUCUCUGGCUGAAGAGAAAGAUGCUGCUGAUGUAGAGAACAAGGAUACUGAUACAAAACCAUUGGAGGAUCGCCACCUAGACACAGUUGAGAAGUUGAAGAAGCGAAGUGAGCGCUUCAAGCUUCCAAUGCCAAGUGAAAAGGAUGCUUUGGCAAUAAAAAAAAUGGAGACUGAAGCGCUGCCUUCUGUCAAAACUGACACUCCUGUGGAUGCAGAGAUCAAACCGGAGCGGCCAGCUCGCAAACGAAGGUGGAUUAGUAACUAAAAGGGAAUUCAGUGAAUACGUUUUUAGGUGUGCCUCGCUUUUUUCAGUGAGGAAAUUACUGCUUGGCCUGAUUUUUUAUUGCAUCGCCCUGAAGAUCCUGUAAUAUGUGGAUGAUAUAAUAUCUGUAUGCUUCCAGGGAUGGCCAUGUACUUCAGCCAUAGUUAAUCUAUAAAUCUUGUAACCAUAUUCCUGCCAUACUUAGACAUACUUAGAUGUUUUGUAGAUGCUAAUAUAUGUAACAUUGAACUUGUCACCUUAUGGUGGCACAGAAUUGCAUUUUAGUAUCAAUUCCAAUUAUGUUACUCAGAUUGAAGUCUGAGGCGACGCGACCUGUGCUACUGGGUAUGAGAUGAGGUGCUAUCUUUUCGAAUUCAGAUGGUAUUGCGGUUGAAAGAAAUUUUAUGAAGCAACUAUGUGGUGGGGAAGUGGAGCAAGAAUACCAUUUUUCUGUAUCUGUAGAAAACUUCAGCUAGAAAAUGAGCAUUGAAACUAUACAUUAUCUGUAUCAUGUAUGUGGAAUUGUCAUAUUUUUCCCCUAGCCUUCAUGUGGACAAGAGGUUGGAAAGACAUUGGAAGCUCCAUUUGUAUACUAAGGACUAGUUAUAGCAAGUGUUUGAUUGAAAAAGUAAAAUUUUCAGUCGUUACUCUCUUUCAUAAUUGAAUGUUUAGCUCUAUAUGACAGAACCAAAGCAAAUGUGGC